rnacentral:rRNA from 1 species
GACGAACGCUGGCGGCGUGCUUAACACAUGCAAGUCGAACGGAAAGGCCCUGCUUUUGUGGGGUGCUCGAGUGGCGAACGGGUGAGUAACACGUGAGUAACCUGUCCUUGACUUUGGGAUAACUUCAGGAAACUGGGGCUAAUACCGGAUAGGAGCUCCUGCUGCAUGGUGGGGGUUGGAAAGUUUCGGCGGUUGGGGAUGGACUCGCGGCUUAUCAGCUUGUUGGUGGGGUAGUGGCUUACCAAGGCUUUGACGGGUAGCCGGCCUGAGAGGGUGACCGGCAACAUUGGGACUGAGAUACGGCCCAGACUCCUACGGGAGGCAGCAGUGGGGAAUAUUGCACAAUGGGCGGAAGCCUGAUGCAGCAACGCCGCGUGCGGGAUGACGGCCUUCGGGUUGUAAACCGCUUUCGCCUGUGACGAAGCGUGAGUGACGGUAAUGGGUAAAGAAGCACCGGCUAACUACGUG